rnacentral:tRNA from 1 species
ACCUGGCUGGCUCAUUAGGUAGAGCACGUGACUCUUGAUCUCAGGGUUGUGAGUUUGAGUCCCACGUUGGGUG